AGAGCGAACGCUGGCGGCGUGCUUAACACAUGCAAGUCGAACGCGCAGCAUUCUGUAGCAAUACAGGGUGUGGGCGCGUGGCGAACGGGUGCGUAACACGUGGAUAACCUUCCUUCAGGUGGGGAAUAACCCAGUGAAAAUUGGGCUAAUACCGCAUAACAUGACGAUGGCACAUGCCGUUGUCUUCAAAGCCGCAAGGCGCCAGAAGAGGGAUCCGCGGCUGAUUAGCUUGUUGGCGAGGUAAUGGCUCACCAAGGCAUUGAUCGGUAGCCGGACUGAGAGGUUGGCCGGCCACACUGGAACUGAGACACGGUCCAGACUCCUACGGGAGGCAGCAGUGGGGAAUCUUGCACAAUGGACGAAAGUCUGAUGCAGCAACGCCGCGUGGGGGAUGAAGCUUCUCGGAGUGUAAACCCCUUUCGACCCGGACGAAUGCCCGCAAGGGUUUGACGGUACGGGUAUAAGAAGCCCCGGCUAACUACGUGCCAGCAGCCGCGGUAAAACGUAGGGGGCCAGCGUUGCUCGGAAUUACUGGGCGUAAAGGGUCCGUAGGCGGUGUGGCAAGUCGGAAGUGAAAUCUCUGGGCUUAACCCAGAGGCUGCUCCCGAAACUGCCGUGCUAAAGGAUGAGAGAGGCGAGUGGAAUUGCGGGUGUAGCGGUGAAAUGCGUAGAUAUCCGCAGGAACAUCCGAGGCGAAAGCGGCUCGCUGGAUCAUUUCUGACGCUGAGGGACGAAAGCUAGGGGAGCAAACAGGAUUAGAUACCCUGGUAGUCCUAGCCCUAAACCAUCAGGACUUGGGGUUUGCCCUGUACGGGGCAAAUCCCGUAGCUAACGCGUUAAGUCCUGCGCCUGGGGAGUACGGUCGCAAGGCUG
rnacentral:rRNA from 1 species